rnacentral:tRNA from 1 species
GGGGGCGUGGCGGAACUGGCAGACGCAGGGGACUUAAAAUCCUCCGCCGCGAGGCUUGUGGGUUCGAGUCCCACCGCCCCUACCA